rnacentral:rRNA from 1 species
AUUGAACGCUGGCGGCAGGCCUAACACAUGCAAGUCGAACGGUAACAGGAAGAAGCUUGCUUCUUUGCUGACGAGUGGCGGACGGGUGAGUAAUGUCUGGGAAACUGCCUGAUGGAGGGGGAUAACUACUGGAAACGGUAGCUAAUACCGCAUAACGUCGCAAGACCAAAGAGGGGGACCUUCGGGCCUCUUGCCAUCGGAUGUGCCCAGAUGGGAUUAGCUAGUAGGUGGGGUAACGGCUCACCUAGGCGACGAUCCCUAGCUGGUCUGAGAGGAUGACCAGCCACACUGGAACUGAGACUCGGUCCAGACUCCUACGGGAGGCAGCAGUGGGGAAUAUUGCACAAUGGGCGCAAGCCUGAUGCAGCCAUGCCGCGUGUAUGAAGAAGGCCUUCGGGUUGUAAAGUACUUUCAGCGGGGAGGAAGGGAGUAAAGUUAAUACCUUUGCUCAUUGACGUUACCCGCAGAAGAAGCACCGGCUAACUCCGUG